rnacentral:rRNA from 1 species
UACAGAGGGUGCAAACGUUGCUCGGAAUCACUGGGCGUAAAGGGUGCGUAGGCGGGUCUUUAAGUCAGGGGUGAAAUCCUGGAGCUCAACUCCAGAACUGCCUUUGAUACUGAAGAUCUUGAGUUCGGGAGAGGUGAGUGGAACUGCGAGUGUAGAGGUGAAAUUCGUAGAUAUUCGCAAGAACACCAGUGGCGAAGGCGGCUCACUGGCCCGAUACUGACGCUGAGGCACGAAAGCGUGGGGAGCAAACAGG